UACACUUUUCUCAUUUUUAUUUCACGCCUCUCACUCUCUCUCUCUCACUACUCACUACUCACUACUCAAGUUCAAAUAUUUUGGUGAAAAUUUGUUGUUGUUGAAAGGAUAGAAAUUCAUGGAAAAACUUCAAUACUAGAAUAAGAUCUUUGUUUGAGAGAAUUUGUACCUGAAUGUUACUGUUCAAAGAUAGUUGUUUAGAUCUGGUUGAGAUGCUGCUAAAGCCAAAUAAGCUAUCCAUCUAGGGCUGGCAUCUUUGUAGUGUUUACAGAGAUAUAACAAAUUGAAAAGUGUUUUCCUUCAGAAAAAGUCAUCAAAAUUCCCCUCUCGAUCAUUUUCUCAGUUUCUAGAACCUGUACAAUCAACCAACCAAGAAAAAGAAAAGGAUAUAUCAUACAGUUUUCUAUAGCAGAUUCAGUUUAAAAAAUAUGAUGUAGAUGCAACUAAGCUAUCAACAUCUAUGGAUUAAAGAGAUAAUUCUACUACAUGGAAAAAGAAUUUUACUCCUCACAAUGCGAAAAAGUUGAAUUUGGCAUCCUUGUUUUUCUCGUGGAGAACAUUUAAGGUGGAGUUACUGCACUCCAAACUAACUGGUAAUUGAAUCAGCACUUGUUUGUGGACUGCACUUGGACUAAACUGGCAGGGAUCCCAUUAUGCAAUGGGCUGGAAUUCAGGUUUAAGCCGGAGAGGUGAAAUCUAGAAUUCAGGACUAUGAAAAUGGGGAAAAGAGCGCCCUUUUCUUAAGGUCUACGAAGAGACGCAUAGAAAGGAAAACAAGGACGGUACAAGAGGAGAUUGGGUCUAACCGCGUGCUAGAAUUGUAUAUGAAGAAUUUUAAGAAAACUUAGAAGAGUGGCGAAAAACCCAACCUACUUCAGAGGAUGGUACCAUGGUCCAACCAUCACCUGCAGAGCUGAAUAAUAUGUGGAUGACUGUGGUAGGUGAUCCAAAGAAUGGUAGAACCUACGAGACAGGGGAUCUCCAAUCCUCGAGUAGUCCUUCGUUGUUUCCCAGUUCCUCCUCUACUUUGCAAAUUAUGGAAGAAAUGGAUGCGAUGAGAAAGCAAAUUGUGGAGUUGACGUAGAAAUGUGCAGCUAAUGAUGCUAGGUUUGCUAAAUUUGAUAAAUUGGAGGAGUUGGUUAAGAAGCACAUGCCACAAGUAUUUCAGGACGAGGAAUAUAAUGAAUCUGAUGAUAAUUAGAUUGUAGUUAUUGUUCUUGUUUUUGGUUGUAACAUUUACAUGUUUAAACUAUUUGAUUUGAUGUUUGUUUUGAAUGGUUUAAAGUUGUUGUAUUUAUAAAUUUUUGUUGUGUUUGAUCCUGUUGUGAAAAAUACAUUAGUUAUGUCGUUUAUAAUUUGAAAGUCGGGUAAGCGAAUGCAAAAUAAU